rnacentral:rRNA from 2 species
AGAGUUUGAUCCUGGCUCAGGACGAACGCUGGCGGCGUGCUUAACACAUGCAAGUCGAACGAAAAGAGGGAAAGAGCUUGCUCUUUCCGGAAUUGAGUGGCAAACGGGUGAGUAACACGUAAACAACCUGCCUUCAGGAUGGGGACAACAGACGGAAACGACUGCUAAUACCGAAUAAGUUCCAAGAGCCGCAUGGCCCAUGGAAGAAAAGGUGGCCUCUACCUGUAAGCUAUCGCCUGAAGAGGGGUUUGCGUCUGAUUAGCUGGUUGGAGGGGUAACGGCCCACCAAGGCGACGAUCAGUAGCCGGUCUGAGAGGAUGAACGGCCACACUGGAACUGAGACACGGUCCAGACUCCUACGGGAGGCAGCAGUGGGGAAUCUUCCGCAAUGGGCGAAAGCCUGACGGAGCAACGCCGCGUGAGUGAUGACGGCCUUCGGGUUGUAAAACUCUGUGAUCCGGGACGAAAAGGCAGAGUGCGAAGAACAAACUGCAUUGACGGUACCGGAAAAGCAAGCCACGGCUAACUACGUGCCAGCAGCCGCGGUAAUACGUAGGUGGCAAGCGUUGUCCGGAAUUAUUGGGCGUAAAGCGCGCGCAGGCGGCUUCCCAAGUCCCUCUUAAAAGUGCGGGGCUUAACCCCGUGAUGGGAAGGAAACUGGGAAGCUGGAGUAUCGGAGAGGAAAGUGGAAUUCCUAGUGUAGCGGUGAAAUGCGUAGAGAUUAGGAAGAACACCGGUGGCGAAGGCGACUUUCUGGACGAAAACUGACGCUGAGGCGCGAAAGCGUGGGGAGCAAACAGGAUUAGAUACCCUGGUAGUCCACGCCGUAAAC